UUACAGAAUCAUUAGGAGACCCUGCAUAAUCUUUAAUCAUCUGUGACACAUGGUGAGGCUCACUGUACUGUGUUUGCAAAAGCUGAAACAAAACCUACUGAGCAUUAAAACAGGGAUGUCAUGUUGUCAAGCCAUCAUCAGAAAGCUAAGUUAACUGGAAGAAACUUUUCUGAAGAUUGUAGUCAUUCUGGUUUUAUUAAACUUUAUUAAACUUAAGGUUUGAAAAACAGCCUUCCUGAAUGGAGCCUGAACAGCACAAGCUGUUCUUAUCAAGCAUUAAUGUUUUAAGUUUAUUUACAGAACCACUGCUGCCCACAUGAAGACCUGCACGUGAAUGGUGCUUGCAGUGUUACUCAUAAUAGCCCAAACCUGGAAACAAUCUGAAUGCCCACCAACUGAUGAAUAAACAAAAUCUAUAUCCAAAUGGCAGAAUACUGUUUAGCAAUAAAAAGGAACAAAUGUACAAAAAGCACAAAAUUACUGAAGCCCACAGGAUAUGCCGGUGGUGUGACAUAUUUUCUACUUUUUGUUAUGAAAAGUUUAAACAGAGAAGCUCAAAGACCGUACAUUGAUCACCUAUCAUCACUUACAUGUAACAUAACGUUUGUAAUAUUUGCUUCAUCUCUAUUUUUGCUAGGAAGCAGUUGAAAGCAGCUUGACGCUUCAUUGAAAUUACUUAAGCUUGCACUUUUAAAAACACUUUAUUGGCACCUGUGUGUCUCAGUCAGUUGAGCAUUGACUUCAGCUCAGGUCAUGAUCUUUCGGUUCACAACUUUGAGCCCCGCAUCGGGCUCUGUGUUAAUGGCUCAGAGCCUGGAGCCUGCUUUGCGGAUUCUUUGUCUCCCUCUCUGUCUGCCCUCCCCCACUCGUUCUGUCUCUCUCUCUCUCUCUCUCUCUCAGACAUUAAAAAAAUUAAAAAUAAAGCACUUUGUUCUGGAGGUGCCUGGGUGGCCUAGGGUUAAGCAUCUGACUUCAGGUCAUGAUCUCAUGGUUUGUGGGUUCAAGCCGCACAUCAGGCUCCGUGGUGACAGUGCAGGGCCUGCUUGGGAUUCCUUCUCUCUUUCUCUGUCUCUUUGCCCCUCCCCACCUCAAAAUGAAUUAACAAAACUUUUAAAGUUUGGGUAAACUUUAAAAAAAUAAUAUUUUGUAAGUAGCAUUUUUGCACUUGGGAAAGUCGACCAGAAUUUCCUGGUAUUUAAUACUCAGUUCAUAAUUCCAAUUUUUGGGGGGAAGAGUUCUGAGCCAAGGUCGGACCCAGUGUUGGUAUAAUUUAGUAUUCUAUGAAAGCAGUUAUGAUUAAGGGUUUAAACUGACACUUGUGAAAAAUAUACAUGUGAUUACUGCCAUUAAGUCGCCACAAGGAACCCUGACGAAUACUUCUAUGCAGCCCUGGAUGAAGAUCGACACUGGGUAGAUCUCAGGUCCCAAGUAGCACUUGCUAGUAAUGUGUCUGCAGUCUUCCUUCCGGUCAGCAGGAGGGUGCUUUGGGACUAGAGGCAGAGCCAGGUGAAUGGUGACAGUGAAGGCAGGUCUGUAAGCCACCAAACCUGGAGUAACAUUCAGAUUUCAGUCAUGUGUGACUCCUUUCCCCAUUGCAUGGCACUGAGUAGGUACUUAGUAAUGUUAAAUACACAUCCCCCAUUUUGAGAAAGGUUAGUGUGGAGCUGCAGGGAGAAGCAAGAAUGCACCCGAAGUAGUAAAAUAAGAGCAGCAGUUCCAUGAGAUAAGGUGGAAGUGCCGGACAAAUAGUCCAGAAGACACCUGGGAAUCUGGAAUGACAAGUCAAAGCUGUCCAACGAAACUUUGCAAGACUGGAAUAUUCCAUUCCCUGUCCACCACGGUAGUUACCAGCCACAAGUAGCAAUUGAGCACUUGAGGCUAGUGUGACUGAGGAGCCAAAUUUUAAAUUUUACUUAGUUUUAAUUUUAAGAAAACAGUCACCAGUGGCUAGUGGUUACUGUGUUGAACAGCACAGCUCUCGGCUCCCAACACCAAUGUCCUACAGGCCAUUGAAAUGAAGAUUUCAGCAAGAUUAACUCGACAAAAGCAGUAGUGAUAAUCGGGCCAUUAAUCAAAAUUUGGUCUCCAAAUUUCUGGGGUUUAAAGAUGUAUAUCAUUUUCUAUACACCCCUGAGGUUUUUUUUUUUUUUUUUUUUUUAAUAUUUGUUUUAGAGAGAGCAAGCGGGGGAGGGGCAAGGAAAGAGAGACACAGAGUCCGAAGCAGGCUCCAGGCUCUGAGCUGUCAGCACAGAGCCCAAUGCAGGGCUCGAACUCAUGAACUUCGAGAUCAUGACCUGAGCCAAAGUGGGACGCUCAACCAAGCUGCCCAGGUGCCCCUGAGUUUCUGUAUAAUAUAAGUUCUGUUUUUAAAAAUCUGCCUCUACUAGCGGGGCAUCUGGGUGGCUCGGUUGAGCUUCCAACUUCGGCUCAGGUUAUGAUCUCACAGUUCAUGAAUUCAUGCUGCGCUUGGGGCUCUCUGCUGUCAGCACAGAACCCUCUUCAGAUCCUCUGUCCCCCUCUUGCUCUGCCCCUCCCCCACUUGUGUUCUCUCAAUCUCUCUCUCUCUCUCAAAAAUAAACAUUUGGGUGCCUGGGUGGCUCAGUCAGUUAAGCGUCUGAUUCUUGAUUUCAGCUCAGGUCAUGAUCUCACAGUUGGUGAGUUUGAGCCCUGCAUUGGGCUCUGCACGAACAGUGCGGAGCCUGCUUGGGAUUCUCUCUCCACCUCUCCCUUUCUGCCCCUCCCCUGCUUGCUUGCUCUCUCUCUCAAAAUAGAUUAACUACUUUAAAGAAAUGUACAAAAGACAAAUCCCCCAUGUUAUCACUUAAUGAGCAACUUCCUUGCAUUAAGUGCUGUCCUGUAAUGAUAUAGGAGUAAGACAGGAUGCCAGCUCUCCAAGUCUGCAGCCUCAGUGAGACAUAAGGAGAUGUAUUUCCUGCUUGCCAUGCUUUUCUGUGUCAACCUGCCUGGUAUUGGAGUGAGUGUUACAGCCCUGCCUUUAUCUUCCUUGGAAAGUUGUACCUUCUAUAUAUUUUUUAGGUAGUCACCCUUAAAACUGAAUACUUCCAAUUGUCUUACUAAAGUCUUAGCUCUCCUAAGUAACACAAGGACAAUGGAAUGCUUCAGUUCUAAUCACAUUAUUAGCUCCUGAGUUCCAACCCCCUUCCCUUUCAGGCUAUUUUUGUCCAGGACUUCACCUUGACCCUGUUUUUACCAGGGAUGCACACAUCUACAUACAUACAUAUUAGUUGUUACUUUACAGUUGAUGCAUGGAUUUACAUUUUUAUCAGCUUAUUUGCUUAUUGUUCUCUGCCUCCCUUCCUCCUGGUUUGUUCUCUUUUUCACAAAGAUCCUUCUUUGAAUCAGUGUGAGGGUAAAUGCUCUCAGCCUGACUUUGGCCAAACAUGUCUUUUAAUGUCAUUCUGAAUAGUAGUUACAGGAGUCCAUAUUCUAUAGACAUUAACUUUCCGGGGAGCUUUUAUUUCUUUUAAUUAACUUAUUUUGAGAGAGAGAGAGUGAACGAGCGUGAGUGGGGGGGGGGGCAGAAAGAGGGAGAGAGAGAUCGCAAGCAGGCUCUGUGCUGUCAGCACAGAGCCCGAUGUGGGGCUCAAACUCAUGAACCAUGAGAUCAUGACCUGAACCGAAAUCAACAGUCCGACGCUUAACCAACUGAGCCACCCAGAGGCCCUCCAGGGUACUUUAAAGAUCAUGUUAGUCCACUGUUUUAUGACCUCUUUGUUGCUAAUAAGAAAUCUGACAGUCCUAAUGUUGGUAAAUAAUGUUUCUAGUUGCUUUUUUGAUUUUCUUGUUUGUUGUGUUUUACAACCUCACUACAAGAUAUCUGGGUAUGGAUUCAUUUUUAUUUAUCCUCUUAGGGGUUACUGUGCUUCUGUGAGUGGAUUCAUGUCUUUUAUGAUUUGGGACAAGUUCUUAGUUUUUGUCGCUUUAACUGCAGCUUCUUUUCCAUUCUCCCUUUUCUCUCCUUCUUGACUUUUAUUAGAUCUAGAUUUGGUUUUCUGAUUUUCUGUAUCUUGACUUCUCUUUCACAUUUCUCAUUUAUUUAUACCUUGAUGCUAUAUUUUGAAUGAUAUCUACAAAUCUAUUUUUUCAAUCACUAAUUCUCUCUAGCUAUGCCUAAUUUGCUCUUUAAUGUGUCCAUUGAGGUUUUUUAAACAACUUUAUUGAAAUAAACUUGUGUACCAUAAAGUUCACUCAUUCAAUAUGUACAGAUUAAAAAUCUUUAGUAUAUUUACAGUGUUGUACAACCAUCAAAACAAUCUUUAAGUUUAGAACAUUCCAUCACUCCACAUAGAAGCCUUGUAUCCAUUAAGUCACUUCCCAUCACUCUCCACCAUUCCCACACUCCUCAACGCUAACCCAAAUUGCUUAUUUCAAUAAUUACAGUUUUCUACUUCAUGAUUUUUAAUUUGGUGUCUUCCAAAUCAGCCUGUUUUUUUAAUAGUGUCUUAUUUUUGCAUCAUGGUUUCUAUCAUUUCUUUUGAAUAUAUUUUAAAUAUAUUUUUUUUCAGACUUUUUGGUUAUCUCAAGUUCUUGGUGUAUAUUCAUUUGUUUUGUAUUAAUUUGAUCUUUAAUUGUGGAAACGUGCCUGCACUGUAGGACUGUUUGUGUGCAUGUCUCCAGGCCUGUAGCAUCAAUGGCCUGGGCACAUUUCUGACAAUCAUUUCUCAGCUGAGACAUUCCUACACCAUAUGGGCAAUGUCAAUUUGAAUACAAAUCCACAUGUGGCACAUGUGCCAGGUUUUGAUUUCUCAGGGAGACUUUUUUAAACCCAGGGCCAGGAAGACCAGGACGCUUGUCACUAUCCAUGGAUAGUGGCCCACCUUUCACUGAGAGGACAGCCUUUCAAAUUCCUGGCUUGAUGCAGGGGGUCUCUGUGCUAAUUUCCCAGCUUUGAGAGCUAACCUGGAAAGUAAACUGAAGGAAGCUGCUAGCCAGUCAGGCCUGAUACCACCUCACUGACCCGAACCAAAGUUGCUGCAGCAUCAGUUUGAACUUGAAACUGGAAGCUCAAUUGUACAUUGUUCGUUCGUUCUUUCUUUCUCUCUCUCUCUCUCUCUCUCUCUCUCUCUCUCUCUUUAUCUCUUUCUUUCUUUCUUUCUUUCUUGGGUGGUCAUGGCAGGCAUGUUCAAUUAAAGUAUUUCUAGGAUUUUGUGUCUUUAGGAGUUUAGCAUGCUGUGAUGCUCAAGAUCACAUGCGUGUGAACAUGUACAAAGUGCGAUGACUUCACACCCUACCUGUCCUGCAGUUCAGCCACAAUGAACUUCUCAAGGGUCCAGGAACCAACCAGGUUGCCUGUCUUGAGCAUAGCAUGCUGCUCCCUCUGUUUAGAAUGUCCAUCCCCUUCCUCUCCACUUGACAGUUGAUUUCUAGCCUGGCAGGACUCCACUCAGCCUUUCUCUGAAGACUUUAAAACUCCUUGCAGACUCAGUUGCUUAUUUUUUCUACCUGCGUCUCAGCUACAUCCCACAUGGCUUUCAUUAGUUGGAAAGUGUGUGCUGAACACCUGUUAGCUCUCUCAGACACUGUCCCAGUAUCCAAGGAUACAGGGAUGAUAAGGCCAACAAGAUCUUUUCUUUCGGGAAGCUUGCAGUGUACUAAGAAGAGAUACUGAGUGAUUACCAGCAGUGAUAAAUGCAUGAAGAACACAGGUAACAAUGGAGUGACUUCUUGGGGGCCUACUUGAGGUUGGUCGGUCAGAGGCUCCUCCUAGGAGGACAGAAGUCUGGAGACAGAACCUGCAGGGCAGAAUGAAUACAAAGUGCAAUGAUCCUCAGGUGGGAAUGAGCUUAGAAGAAACAAAAAGAUAGUGGGCCUGAGGUCAGUGUGUAGCUAUGUGGGGAAGCGUUGUGUGAAGGGAACAGCUUUGGAGAGAGAACUGGCAGGGGAGAUGGGGAGUCAAGAGAGGAUCAGAGACGGAAGAUGCUUUGUGCAUGUUUAUCUGUUGAUAGGAAUGACCCAGGGGCUGACAAAUUUACUACCUGGGAUGGAAGGCAACUGCAAGAGCAAAGCCCACAUAGAGGAAAGAAGAAAUUGGGUCUAGUGCCUAAGUAGAGGAGAGGUACGAUAAGAACAGAGAUGGUUUAUCUGUUUUCAUAGGAAAGAACGUGGAGAAUGUGGACAUACAAAGCAUGCAUGUAGGCUAGUAGAUUUGGUCAUGUGAAGACAAGUGUCACUAAGUUCAUUAACUACAGAUAUUCCCCAAGGAACCAUAUGAUUGGAGGGGGUGGAGGGAGGUGGAGGUGGUUCACAGCAGGUAGUAUAGACAAAAGCCCACCAACAUAGAUCAAGUACCAUAAAAAUGUUCAUGCUCUGACCUAAUGAUUCUAUUUCUUGAAAUUGUAUAUCAAAUAUCUGGAAUACAGAAAAAGCUCUGUCAAGAGCUGAUUUUCUUUUAUUAUUAAAAAAACUCUGGGGUGGGGGGUGCCUUGGUGGCUCAGUCAGUUAAGCGUCCGACUUCAGCUCAGGUCAUGAUCUUGUGGUUCAUGGGUUUGAGCACUGUGACGGGCUCUGUCUGACAGCUCAGAGCCUGGAACCUGCUUCGGAUUCUGUGUCUCCCUCUCUGCCCCUCCCCCCACUGGUGCACGCUCUCUCUCUCUCUCGCUCUCAUAAAUAUAAAAAAAUUUUUAACGUUUAUUUUUGACAGAGACAGAUCAUGAGCAGAGGAGGGGUAGAGAAAGGGAGAUACAGAAUCUGAGGCAGGCUCCAGGCUGAGCUCUCAGCACAGAGCCCAAUGUGGGGCUCAAACCCAUGAACUGUGUGAGAUCAUGACCUGAGCCGAAGUCAGAUGCUUAACUGACUGAGCCACCCAGGUGCCCCUCUUUUCUUUUUUUAAAAAUAAUUUCCCUCUAGGCUCUGUGCCGACAGCUUAGAGCCUGGAGCCUUCUUUGGAUUCUGUGUCUCCUCUCUCUGCUCCUCCCCCGCUCGUGCUCUGUCUCUGUCUCAGAAAUAAACAUUAAAAAAAUUUUUUUAAAUAAAUAAAUAAAAUGAUUUCCCUCUAUCCUUCAGAGGUGUUUUUGGUGUCAUUGUUGUUUUAUGUUUUACUUGUUUUUUGAGAGAGAGUGUGAGCAAGGGAGGGGCAGAAAGAGAGGGGGACAGGGGAUCCAAAGCAGGCUCUGCGGUGACAGCAGUGAGUCCAAUGCAGGUCUCAUGAGAUCAUGACCUGAACCAAAGUCGGAUGCUCAACCAACUGAGCCACCCAGGCACCCCAACUGAUUCCUUAUUCCGAUAGAGAAAUGGUGUGGUAUGUUGUGAUCAGUUGUUAAUGAAAUAUUUCUCACCUACUAAACAGGUGAACUUUUUUCAGGAACUAAAUGGCUUACAACCCAAGUAUUUUGUAUUUUGUAUUUGAUGGACAUUUAAGGACAUUAUGCUAUGUGAAAUGUCAGAGGAAGACAAAUAUCCUAUAAUCUCAUAUGUGGAAUCUAAAAAACGCAAACUCAAAGAAACAGAUUGGUUUGUCAAAAGUUGGUGUGUGUGUGUGUGAAAUGAGUGAAGGUGGUCAAAAGGUACAGAUUUCCAGUUAUAAGAUAAAUAAGUCCUGGUGACAUAAUACCCAGCAUGGUGACUAUAGUUAAUAAUACUGUAUUGUAUGUUUGAAGGUUGCUAAGAGUGAAUCUUAAAAGUUGUCACCACUGGAAAAAAAAUUGUAACUAUGUGAGGGCAUGGAUGUUAAGUAAAUUUAUUGUGGUGAUCAUCUUA